rnacentral:rRNA from 1 species
UACGGGGGGGGCAAGCGUUGUUCGGAAUUACUGGGCGUAAAGGGCUCGUAGGCGGCCAACUAAGUCGGAUGUGAAAUCCCCAGGCUCAACUUGGGAACUGCAUCCGAUACUGGAUGGCUUGAAUUCGGGAGAGGGAUGCAGAAUUCCAGGUGUAGCGGUGAAAUGCGUAGAUAUCUGGAGGAAUACCGGUGGCGAAGGCGGCAUCCUGGACCGACAUUGACGCUGAGGUGCGAAAGCGUGGGGAGCAAACAGG